rnacentral:rRNA from 1 species
GAUGAACGCUAGCGGCAGGCUUAAUACAUGCAAGUCGUGGGGCAGCAUGGUGUAGCAAUACAUUGAUGGCGACCGGCAAACGGGUGCGGAACACGUACACAACCUUCCUUUUAGUGGGGAAUAGCCCAGAGAAAUUUGGAUUAAUACCCCAUAAGAUAAUGAGAUGGCAUCAUCUUAUUAUUAAAGCUUCGGCGCUAGAAGAUGGGUGUGCGGCUGAUUAGGUAGUUGGCGGGGUAACAGCCCACCAAGCCUACGAUCAGUAGCUGAUGUGAGAGCAUGAUCAGCCACACGGGCACUGAGACACGGGCCCGACUCCUACGGGAGGCAGCAGUAAGGAAUAUUGGACAAUGGACGCAAGUCUGAUCCAGCCAUGCCGCGUGAAGGAUUAAGGUCCUCUGGAUUGUAAACUUCUUUUAUUUGGGACGAAAAAAGAUCAUUCUUGAUCACUUGACGGUACCAGAUGAAUAAGCACCGGCUAACUCCGUGCCAGCCGCCGCCGUAAAAC